GAAAUGCGAUAAGUAAUGUGAAUUGCAGAAUCCAGUGAAUCAUCGAAUCUUUGAACGCACCUUGCGCUCCUUGGUAUUCCUUGGAGCAUGCCUGUUUGAGUGUCAUUAAAUUAUCAGAAUCGCACUUAGUGAUUUUGGACUGUGGGAUUGCUGGAGUUCUGUUGUGUGGAAAUCAAGCUCUCCUUAAAUAUAUUAGAAGAGUCAACAAUGUAUACUCUAUUGGUGUGAUAAGACAAAUGUUAUCACCAGAGUUGCUGUACGACUGCUUCUAUCUUAAAUGUCCUUUGGACAAAUUGACAAAAAUUGACAUCAGAUCAGGUAGGAUUACCCGCUGAACUUAA
rnacentral:rRNA from 1 species